UACGUAGGGGGCAAGCGUUGUCCGGAUUUAUUGGGCGUAAAGAGCGUGUAGGCGGUUUGGUAGGUCCGCUGCGAAAAACUCGAGGCUCAACCUCGAGACGCCGGUGGAAACCAUCAGGCUAGAGUCCGGAAGAGGAGAGUGGAAUUCCUGGUGUAGCGGUGAAAUGCGCAGAUAUCAGGAAGAACACCCGUGGCUAAGGCGGCUCUCUAGUACGGUACUGACGCUGAGACGCGAAAAGCGUGGGGAGCGAACAGGG
rnacentral:rRNA from 1 species